CAUUAACUAAUUUAGGUUGUUAACAAAAGAAAGUGCAGUCUUUGCCAUUAAAAGUAAAUGGCAAAGACCGCAGUUACUUUUGUUACCAGCCUAAUA
rnacentral:miRNA from 1 species